rnacentral:lncRNA from 10 species
GGCCAUGUGAGGACACAGAGAAAGCACCAUCUGUGAGAAACAGGGCCUCCACUAUAUACUGAACUUGCCACCACCUUGACCUGGGACUUCCCAGUUUCCAGAACUGUGAGAAAUAAAUUUUUUAUGAUUUACCCAGUCUAAGAUAUUUUGUGACAGCAGCAGGAAUGGACUAACAUACUGGGUCUAGCAAAGAGUUCUCAAGAGAUGGGGCCUGGAUGUGUUGCUUAGGCUGUGUGAAACACCUGGUCUUAAGCGAUCCUCUCACCCUGGCCUCCCAAAGCAUUGGGAUUACAGGGAGAAAAGAAUGGGAACUGUGAGGAAAAGAAUGACAUGAACAAUGGGAAGACCAAGGUCCCAGCACAAGUAGUAGAUGCUGAGGAAAGAAGAAGUAUGUUGUGGAGUAAGUGAGUGGGCCUGAGUUGAGAAGAUCCUGGCCUUGGAUUUUAAAACUGUCAGGUGACUAUGGUUGUGCUGGUCUCUGCUUUUCAUUAUGGAUAUAUGUGAGCUUUAUUUUCUAUUAAGGUAAGUGGCUCCAGUCAACACUGUGCCAGGGUUUCUUAAUUUUCAAAGGUGAACAAAUGAGAUUCUGGACAUUAAAUCUCAACAUCUUAAGGUAAUGGUUCACAGAAAUUAAUUUGGGAGGAAUCAUAGACCAAAAAGCUAGGGCUGGGCGCAGUGGCUCACGCCUGUAAUCCCAGCACUUUGGGAAGCUGAGGCGGGUGGAUCACUUGAGGUCAGGAGUUCGAGACCAGCCUGGCUAACAUGGUGAAACCCUAUCUUUACUAAAAAUAUGAAAAUUA